AGAGACUCUGAAGGACAGUGAAAAGAGAUUUGGUUACAGGAUACCAAUGAGUAGUCCUCGGGGAUUCUGGAAACUGUGUCAGGCCCUUUUCCACUCAAGCAGGGGAGCAAACGAAUGGAAUUAGUUACUCAAGAUUAACUACUUUUACUCUCCCUCCCUCUCCUCAAAUGUCUGAUUACCUGUACUGAGGCUAUUGCCUGUGCGAACCCAGAGUAAAAUUUAUUCAUUGCAUUUAGAGCCUGGGGACAGUUUAACGGAAAUAACAGUUUCCUCAGUUAUUUCAUAACUUAAGCAGUGUGUACAUUAGAACAAAAGCCUGAAAAUUCAAUAAAGGCAAAUAACACAUGAAAAAAAAAAAAAAAAACAAAAAACAGCCAACAGUAAAUAAGAGUAACUAUAGGAUUUCAGAGGGCCUUUUUCUUUAUACCUCAGUGGAAUAUAAACCAAAAAGAUUUUAGGCAGUUUAUUAAAAAUACCAGAUCCUUAACCCACUGAGCAAGGCCAGGGAUCAAACCCUCAACCUCAAGGUUCCUAGUCAGAUUUGUUUCCGCUGCGCCACAACAAGAACUCCUGGAGAUGCUAUUUACUCCAAGGGACAGUUGGAGGAUUAAAAAGGGAUGCACGGAAAGCACCUAGUAUAAUGCCUGAUAGAAUCAGUACUCAAAAGCUUGUAGCUGUAAAUGAGUGCAUGCGAUCAUGAAGUUAUCAUUUUCUUAUAGAUGAUAUAGAUAUACAUUAAACUAAUAUGGUCAAAUUGCAAUAUACUGAAAACUUAUGUUAGAGACUAGCUAUAUAGCUCUCUGAUGACCUGGCUUCCUCUGAGGAUAAAGUUGAAAAUAAUCUGGAAGAACUGAUGGAUGGCACAUGUUUUAAUCAAUUUCCAUGAGUUCUUGAUAAAGGACCGGCUGACACUGGGUUCAAAGACCUGGAGGUCUUUUAAAAAGCCCCUGUGCUCUGCCAACCAAGGGAAGAGCAGGACCCACAUGUUCUUUUCUGAAUGAAGCCUCCCAAAAUGUGGCUAGCCCCAUACCCUGCGGGGAGACACUUUCCACAGAGUCAAAGUUCUUCACAAAACUCAGCUCCAUUCCAACAUAUAGGCCCCAAAAUACUACAUCUUGGCUCCAAUUAUUUUAAUAUGGGGGAAAUUGAGGAUUUAUGUUACCUAAAGCCAGCUAAUCUGGCCAUUCAGGGGAAAAAGUUAAUGAGGUACCCAUGGGGCCACUGACGGUAAGCAAUUUCAUUCCUUGGUGGAUCUUCCAAGGUAAAUUAGUUGCACAAUGGACCUGUAGAAUAAUAUAGAAUUGGUAUCAGGUAUAUGCCAUGAUGGGACGUGACAAUUUUAGCAGAGGUCAUAUGGCAGGACCAGUUGUAUUUAGGGACCAAUCAUAGUAUAGGAUUCUUAUCUUUCUGUUUUCUAUAAAAGUAUAUUCAUCUAAAUCAUCCAAAACUGGUUUCAAGUCACUAACAUAAAUGCUAAAAGAACAUGAGGCUGGAAUUCAAAGUUUUAAGGCUUAAAAUAACCAGGUAAGUUCUAAUACCCUAUACUCUUAGAACCAUUCCAUCACAAGCAUGUAAAAAGACACGGAGCAUUACAUCUGUGGCAUGCGUGGGUUCCCAGGCUAGGGAUCGGACCCAUGCCACAGCAGCCACCUGAGCCAUUGCAAUGACAACUUCAGGACCUUGACCCACUGAGCCACCAGGGAACUCCCACAAGUGUGUACUUGUCAUAGGAUGUGAUGGAAAUGGCUUUUCACCUCCAGUCUUCCUCCCAAUACCCCAAACCCAGUCUAAUCAUGAGAAGAACAUCAGAUAGAUUCUGAUACUGGAGGCUCCGACAAAAUAUGUGCCCAGUCCUCAAAACUGUCAAGGUCAUCAAAACCGUGAACUCCAAGAACUGCCAUAGCCAAGAGGAGCCUUAAAGAGACAGGACAACUGGAGUUCCCUGGUGGUCUACUGGUUAGGGCUUGGUGUUUUCACUGCUUGGUGUUUUCACUCCCUGCUCUGGGACCUGAGAUCCCACAUCAAGCUGCUGCAUGCCUUAGCCAAAAGAGAGACAUGGUAACUAAAUGUAAUAUGGGAUUCUGCAACAGAAAGGAAGGACCAUAGGUAAAAACAAAGAAAAUGGAUAUAAUCUCUGGAUACUAGUUAUUAAAGUAUUAGCAUAAUUUUUUAAAAAGACAUGGAGCAUCAAAUGACAUGCAAAUUAUUUUCUUAGCUGUACUCCAGGGAAAUGGCCACCAGGAUGCAGCUAAUUGGUAUAGAAUUAAGGUAGUGUUAAUGGGAAAAGAAGAGAGAUGUUGUAAAGUGAAAAUCAGAAGAAUUUAGGGGUUAAAUGGAUUUGAAGUUAUGGGAAAAAGAUGGGAAAGAAACAUGAUGUUUAUACUGAGAAAUGCUCUCAACUAGAAAAAUUAUACUCAACUUAAUAAAAACGAGGAGAGCAAGAAUGACUUGUAGGGGCUGAAGACGAACACCACAAUCAAGAAGAAACACCUAACAGGUAUUGGGAAAAGAGGCAAGUUAGAAAGACGGCACUUGCAGGGUCAGAAGGACAGAUGGUGAGGUCUAGCCCCUCUUCCCUGUUUUAUUACAAAAAAAUUCAAAUAUAAAGCCCUGAACACUCACCUGCCCACCACCUAUAUUCUACCAUUGACAUUUUACUUUGUGUUAUUAUGUUCCUAUCCCUCUAUUAUCUCCAUUCAUCAAUCCACUUUAUUUUUAAAACAUACAUCUCAAAGUACACAUUACCCUGAAUACUUAAGCAUACCUAUCAUUAACUUGAGUUCAAUAUUUGUUUAUGGGAUUUUUUUUAGGUAAAACUUAUAUACAAUGAAAUGCACAAAUCUUAAGUGUACAUUUCCUGAGUUUUGACAGAUGCAUACACCUGUGUAACACCAACCCCUAUCAACAUACAAACCCUCACAAUAAUUUCUGUCUCCCAGAAAACUUCCUCACACCAUUUCCUAGUUAAUCCCUGCUCCCACCCUUCCAGAGGCAACCCUUCUUCUGAUAUUUUUCCCCCCAAACAACUUAGUUUUGCUUAUUCUAGAAUUUCAUCUGAAUGUAACCUGCAUUGGGUCACCUAAAAGAUUAUUUGAGAAAUGCAAGAGCUCUGGUUUUGAAUUUGAUUUGAACUGAUUUUCAAGUUACAAAAGUAAUGCUUGUUCCCUAGUAGGGUUAAGUGGAAACACAC
rnacentral:lncRNA from 1 species